rnacentral:rRNA from 1 species
CAUCCUACGGGACGCAGCAGUGGGGAAUAUUGGGCAAUGAGGGGAACCCUGACCCAGCGACGCCGCGUGAGGGAAGAAGGUUUUCGGAUUGUAAACCUCUGUCCUUGGUGACGAUAAUGACGGUAGCCAAGGAGGAAGCCACGGCUAACUACGUGCCAGCAGCCGCGGUAAUACGUAGGUGGCGAGCGUUGUCCGGAAUUACUGGGUGUAAAGGGAGCGUAGGCGGGAGAGCAAGUCGCAUGUGAAAUCUAUGGGCUUAAC